rnacentral:rRNA from 1 species
AAGCUCGUAGUUGAAUUUCGGGAUCAAAUUGUCGGUCGUGCCUCGGUACGUACUGGCGUUAUUGGUCCCUCCCUUCUGAAGAACCACGAUGUCAUUAAUUUGGUGUCGCGGGGAAUCAGGACUGUUACUUUGAAAAAAUUAGAGUGUUUAAAGCAGGCUCGCGCUUGAAUACAUUAGCAUGGAAUAAUGAAAUAGGACGUUUGAUUCUAUUUUGUUGGUUUCUAGGAUCGACGUAAUGAUUAAUAGGGAUAGUUGGGGGCAUUAGUAUUCAAUUGUCAGAGGUGAAAUUCUUGGAUUUAUUGAAGACUAACUACUGCGAAAGCAUUUGCCAAGGAUGUUUUCAUUAAUCAAGAACGAAAGUUAGGGGAUCGAAGACGAUCAGAUACCGUCGUAGUCUUAACCAUAAACUAUGCCGACUAGGGAUCGGAUGAUGUUAAUUUUUUAAUGACUCAUUCGGGGCCUUACGGGAAACCAAAGUGUUUGGGUUCCGGGGGGAGUAUGGUCGCAAGGCUGAAACUUAAAGGAAUUGACGGAAGGGCACCACCAGGGGUGGAGCCUGCGGCUUAAUUUGACUCAACACGGGGAAACUCACCAGGUCCAGACAUAGUAAGGAUCGACAGAUUGAGAGCUCUUUCUUGAUUCUAUGGGUG